rnacentral:rRNA from 1 species
AUGGGCCCUCCUGUGGUAGACCCACAUGUCAUCGGUGCAACUAUUUGCACUCCGAAGGACGCAUACACAAAUGCGCUGGCCUUCAUGAUUCCAGGACCUGGAAUCUUACCAGCCGAUGGUUUGAAGCACUCCUCUGGUUUGAAGGAUGGAUACCUUCCUAGGAUCAAGUGCAUCCUAACUCACCUGCAAUUACCGGCUGGCGUCAAGUUCGAUCCCACGGAUCAGGAGCUGAUCGAGCACCUCGAGGCCAAAGUGAGUGCUGACAGCGCGAGAUCUCACCCUGUCAUCAAUUUGUUCAUACCAACCAUCGACAGCGAGCACGGCAUAUGCUACACCCAACUUGAGAAACAUCCAGGUAUCACACAGAGUGGCCUAAGGAAGCAUAUCUUCCAGCGCAAUUCCAGGGCAUUCAAAAGGGGCACGUGGAUGCAUCGCAAGAUACAGUCGGAAUGUCGCAUGCACGCGAUCUGGCACAAGACCAGCAAUACCUUGCCGGUGAUGGUCAACGGCCGGCGGACGGGCAACACAAAGGUUUUGGUGUUGUACACCAACAAGAACUUCGACCAACAGAGGACCAACUGGGUGAUGCACCAGUACCACCUCAAGGACCUGGAGCAAGAGAAGGAGCGGGAGCUGGUCCUCUGCAAAAUUUUGUACUAG